CUUUCUUGCUGCGCGCCGCCUAGAAGCAGCCAGGGCCUAAGACGGGGUCUAAGGCAGCCCACGCCGGGAUGCUUAUGCUCUCCCCUUCCCACCCAAGGCCGAGGUGAAGCCGCUGGAAAGGGCGGCGCGGCGGGGCUUCGCCUCUCUGAAAGCUGCCUGGAGGCCGAGGCUCUCCUCAGGCGCGCGAAGGGCGGGCAGGUGCGCCGGUUCCCAGCGGGGCGGGUAGCGCGACCUGGUCCUCCCGUGAAAGGCCUGUUCAGAGGCGAGGAAGGAGCGCGAAACACAGCAAGGAAAUCCAUCUCCUCUCCAGGGCAAAGCCUGAUCGCCGGGGAGACUUGACCACAACAUGAGACUAGCCUGCUGGAUCAGGCCAGUGGGCCAUCCUCUUUUCACAGUGGCCAUAGAAUUGUAAGGGACGCUGCGGGUCAUCUAGUGCAACCCCUGGUCUGCUAUUGAUACAGUGCUUCCGACUUUACUAAUGCUAAUGCUUCAUGUUCCCAGAUGGCAACCUGGUACCCUUGUUUUGGACUACAACUCCCAUCAUCCCAGACCAGCCCAGCUGACACACAGGGUUAUCCCAAACACCUAGAGGGCAUCAGGUUGGUCUCCUCACCUAUUCCUCUGGAAGCUGAGCCAAAGCAGACGUGGUUUUCUACACCAGACCAUUCUCUCGC